UGAAAAUGCACGUAAAUAUUUAGAGCGUAUUUCAGAAUUAUGUAAUGUACAAAUUUCUAUCUUCUCAGUUGGUCC
rnacentral:tRNA from 1 species